rnacentral:rRNA from 1 species
CCCUGCCAUUUGUACACACCGCCCGUCGCACCUACCGAUUGAAUGGUUCGGUGAAACCCUCGGACUUUGGCACGCAAGCUUCACGGCGAGCGUGCCGCGGGAAGUUGGUUAAACCUCAUCAUUUAGAG